AACGAACGUUGGCGGCGCGCCUAACACAUGCAAGUCGCACGAGAAAGGGAGCAAUCCCCGGUACAGUGGCGCACGGGUGAGUAACACGUGGAUAAUCUUCCCUCGAGCGGGGGAUAACCUUCCGAAAGGAGGGCUAAUACCGCAUAAGACUACAGCCAGUUCGCUGGCAGCAGUCAAAGCUGGCCUCUUCACGAAAGCUAGCACUUGAGGAUGAGUCCGCGGCCCAUCAGCUAGUUGGUAGUGUAAAAGACUACCAAGGCUAAGACGGGUAGCUGGUCUGAGAGGAUGAUCAGCCACACUGGAACUGAGACACGGUCCAGACUCCUACGGGAGGCAGCAGUGGGGAAUCUUGCGCAAUGGACGAAAGUCUGACGCAGCGACGCCGCGUGGGUGAUGAAGGCCUUCGGUUGGUUAA
rnacentral:rRNA from 1 species